rnacentral:rRNA from 1 species
GUACCCGCGGCAAGACGGAAAGACCCCGUGAACCUUUACUAUAGCUUGACACUGAACAUUGAGCCUUGAUGUGUAGGAUAGGUGGGAGGCUUUGAAGUGUGGACGCCAGUCUGCAUGGAGCCGGCCUUGAAAUACCACCCUUUAAUGUUUGAUGUUCUAACGUUGGCCCGUAAUCCGGGUUGCGGACAGUGUCUGGUGGGUAGUUUGACUGGGGCGGUCUCCUCCUAAAGAGUAACGGAGGAGCACGAAGGUUGGCUAAUCCUGGUCGGACAUCAGGAGGUUAGUGCAAUGGCAUAAGCCAGCUUGACUGCGAGCGUGACGGCGCGAGCAGGUGCGAAAGCAGGUCAUAGUGAUCCGGUGGUUCUGAAUGGAAGGGCCAUCGCUCAACGGAUAAAAGGUACUCCGGGGAUAACAGGCUGAUACCGCCCAAGAGUUCAUAUCGACGGCGGUGUUUGGCACCUCGAUGUCGGCUCAUCACAUCCUGGGGCUGAAGUAGGUCCCAAGGGUAUGGCUGUUCGCCAUUUAAAGUGGUACGCGAGCUGGGUUUAGAACGUCGUGAGACAGUUCGGUCCCUAUCUGCCGUGGGCGCUGGAGAACUGAGGGGGGCUGCUCCUAGUACGAGAGGACCGGAGUGGACGCAUCACUGGUGUUCGGGUUGUCAUGCCAAUGGCACUGCCCGGUAGCUAAAUGCGGAAGAGAUAAGUGCUGAAAGCAUCUAAGCACGAAACUUGCC